rnacentral:lncRNA from 1 species
UAUAGACUUUGCUGAUUUAAGAUACUCCUGACGGCUGGCUCUGUGGCCAAGUGGUUAAGUUUGCGCACUCUGCUGCGGCGGCCCAGGGUUUGGAUCCUGGGCGCAGACAUAGCACCGCUCGUCAGGCCACGUUGAGGCGGUGUUCCACAUCCCACAACUAGAAGGACCUGCAACUAAGAUAUACAACUGUGUACAGGGGGCUUUGGGGAGAUAAAGCAGAAAAAAAUAAAUAAGUAAAAAUAAAUAAAUAAAAUACUCCUGAAAUAAGUAGUCAAAUUCCCCUUGCUAUGUUCGUUGUUAAAUUUACAUUUGGUUUUGACAAAUAAAAAUGGCAAGCAAUAGGAUAUAUUGGAGAAUAUGAGGAAGCCAUUUGGUAUAAACCUAAUUCGGCCUGACCUUGUCUUUCCAAAAGGGCCUGACCGUGGCUGUUGAGCAUGCAUUGUAUAUCUGCUUUAGAGAUUCCCUAUGGCAAGAGCAAAGGCCCUUGAGAUAAAGGCUAGAAACUGAUUGCUGCACUCACCUGUGACCGCCCAGCUCCAGACAAUAGACGCCUCCUGCUGCGCCCACCAAGAUGGCAGACCCACUACCUGCUGUGUCCAUCAAGCGCUGUGCCGACAGGGCAAUCUUGUGACUAUUGUGGGAGGGACAUUUCAAUCAUAUGUAAAGCACCCUCUUUGGGGGUAUAUAACCACUCUGUACACCUCAUUUCUUUGGUGCCCUUUCUUCCUUCAGGAAGAAAGGCCCCUGGCCAUGGUCCUCAGAUUUCGGCUCAGAAUAAACUCACCCAAAUUUUCAUUUACAGAUUGGUUAUGGAUUAUUUUCAUUGACAGUUUGCAUUAGCCUUUCUAUCUUCCCUGUGCCAAAUAAAAGCACAACACUGUACUGCUUAGUAUGUCAUUUGGGGAGUUAUUCAUCAGAUUCUGGUUACUCCUCCCAUCCUUGUUCCUCUGCUGCCACCCUCACCUACAGUCCUUGCCUCCAUCAUCUCUGGCCUGGACUGUUUCAAGAGCCUUCCAGCUGUUUGGCCACCCCUGGCACUCCAUCCUCUAUCAUCUUUCUCAGCCAGCAGCCGGCAUGAUCCUAUUGAAAGGUAAGUCAGGUCAUGUCACUCCUUGGCCCUUGAAUGGCUUCCCAUCUCAUUCAGAGUAUAAACUGUGGGGACCUGGAAAUGGCCACCCCAAGAUAUGUCUCUUUGGCAUGAGGAUUGUUUGAGGCUGGUUUCUUUGCAGACAGGAACGCAACUGAAAAGUAGAAUUUACUUACCCUUUGUAAGACACAUUUACAUUGUAAAGGAACUCCCCAUCUGUAAAGAUCUCUCUAGAAACUCUUAAUCAAUGGGGAAGGCAAGGACUUAAAUCUGCAUUUGUUUAUUGUGCUUGUCUGGUAACCUCCUGUAACUGACUUCCCUCCCCCUCACAAUGUUUGUAUUUCUUUAAGGAUUAAGCAUCUUUCCUUAGGCUAGGAACUGAUUGCUAUGCUCACCUGUGACCACCCAGCUUGAGACAAUAGACUUGCCUCCUGCUACGCCCUCCGAGAUAGCAGACCAGUACCUGCUGUGUCCAUCGAGCGCUGUGCCAACAGGGCAAUCUUGUGACUAUUGUGGGAGGGACAUUUCAAUCAUAUGUGAAACACCCUGUUUAGGGGUAUAUAACCACUCUGUGCACCCCACUUCUUUGGUGCCCUUUCUUCCUUUAGGAAGAAAGGCCCCGGGCCAUGGUUCCUCAUAAAGCUUUGUUUAAUUUUCUCUUGCUAUUCUGUCUCAUGUGAAUUUAAUUUCUUCUCCGGCUAGAAGAACCCACAUUGGAUAGAGGAAAAGUCUUCCUCCCUUACAAAACCAAAGCCCUCACAGUAGCCUACAAGGCCUGAAGUGAUCUGGCCUUUCUUCCCUCUCUGACCUCACCUCUCCCUCUACUCCAGCUACACUAAUUCCUUGCUACAUAAUAUUCCUUGAAUAUGGCAAGAUGCUCCUACCUCAAGACUUGUGCUGUCUUUGUCUGGAAUGCUUUCCCCAGCUAUGUCUGCAUGGCACGGGCCCUCACCUCUUUCAAGUUUUUGCUCAAAAUGUCACCUUCUCAAGAAGCCCUUCUCUG